AUUGAACGCUGGCGGCAUGCCUUACACAUGCAAGUCGAACGGCAGCACGGGUGCUUGCACCUGGUGGCGAGUGGCGAACGGGUGAGUAAUACAUCGGAACAUGUCCUGUAGUGGGGGAUAGCCCGGCGAAAGCCGGAUUAAUACCGCAUACGAUCUACGGAUGACAGCGGGGGACCUUCGGGCCUCGCGCUAUAGGGUUGGCCGAUGGCUGAUUAGCUAGUUGGUGGGGUAAAGGCCUACCAAGGCGACGAUCAGUAGCUGGUCUGAGAGGACGACCAGCCACACUGGGACUGAGACACGGCCCAGACUCCUACGGGAGGCAGCAGUGGGGAAUUUUGGACAAUGGGCGAAAGCCUGAUCCAGCAAUGCCGCGUGUGUGAAGAAGGCCUUCGGGUUGUAAAGCACUUUUGUCCGGAAAGAAAUCCUUGGCCCUAAUACGGUCGGGGGAUGACGGUACCGGAAGAAGAAGCACCGGCUAACUACGUG
rnacentral:rRNA from 1 species